GACGAACGCUGGCGGCGUGGAUUAGGCAUGCAAGUCGAACGGUAGGAUACCUUCGGGUAUCUGAGAGUGGCGAACGGGUGAGUAACACGUAGGUGAUCUACCCUCAAGAUUGGGACAACCCAGGGAAACUUGGGCUAAUACCGGAUGAAAGCAGCAGUGAUGUUGUUUGAAAGGUGGCGUAAGCUGCCGUUUGGGGAUGAGCCUGCGCUCUAUUAGUUAGUUGGCGGGGUAAAGGCCCACCAAGGCGAUGAUAGAUAGGCGGCCUUAACGGGUGGUCGCCCACACUGGGAUUGAGAUACGGCCCAGACUCCUACGGGAGGCAGCAGUCGAGAAUAGUCUACAAUGGCCGAAAGGCUGAUAGUGCGACGCCGCGUGACGAAGAAGCCUCGGGUGUAAGUACUUUAUUAUGUGAGCAGUGCUUCUUAUGUGAACAGCAUGGGAGGAGAGAUAUUAGUCAUAUGAACUAAGACAACGGACGUAACUACCGUCGCCACG
rnacentral:rRNA from 1 species